rnacentral:sRNA from 1 species
AUUCUGCCCAUGCGGGGAAGGAUGAGAAGCUUCGACCAAGGUUCGACUCGAGGCCAGCGAGAGAGCGUUGCCGCAGGCAACGACCCGUAGGGCGAAGCGCGCAGCACUGAGUAAUCCUUCCCCCACCACCA